GCUGGGCUUACAGAAAGCAUUGAAAACACACUGAACUGAACUUGACCCUGAGCUUGCCACAGUGUGUGAGCCGGCCUCGGCCUGGUUUCAUGCAAGAAUUCUGGUCCAAUUCAUCGCACUUCAGUGGUGAUACUGAUCAUGGGACAUCACCCCAGACAAGCUGCUCAAAGGGACCAUCCAUCUCCCCAGUGGAAAGGCUCAUGCCCCCAAACACUGCCCAUACUUCGGCUGUGCAAAAGGAAAUAUCUCCUAUUCUCCCAAGAGCACCUAGUGUCCUCACACUCUGUCUGCCUUGGGCAAACUCUUCUCAGGAAAGGGUCUUGUAAAUUCAUCCAUCCUAAGGUGUAAUCGACGGAGACAUUCCAUUUCAGAGGUCCUUUCAUUUGAAUAAGAAAUAAAAAUUUCAGGAAAAGCCA